rnacentral:rRNA from 1 species
CUUCGGGGAGCGAGUACAGUGGCGAACGGGUGAGUAACGGGUGGAAAACCUGCCCUUCAAUGGGGGAUAACAGUUCUAACGAGCUGCUAAUACCGCAUACGACCUUUGGUCCGCAUGGUCCGAAGGUGAAGGGUGGCCUCUCUUUGAAGCUGCCGUUGAAGGAUGGUUCCGCCUCCCAUUAGCUUGUUGGUGGGGUAAUGGCCUACCAAGGCGACGAUGGGUAGCCGGCCUGAGAGGGUGUCCGGCCACACUGGGACUGAGAUACGGCCCAGACUCCUACGGGAGGCAGCAGUCGAGAAGCUUCGGCAAUGGGCGAAAGCCUGACCGAGCGAUGCCGCGUGAGUGAAGAAGGCCCUAUGGGUUGUAAAGCUCUGUCAGAUUGGGAAGAAAAUCCUACGGUUAAUACCCGUGGGACUUGACGGUACCAUCAGAGGAAGCACCGGCUAACUCCGUGCCAGCAGCCGCGGUAAUACGGAGGGUGCAAGCGUUGUUCGGAUUCACUGGGUAUAAAGGGUGCGCAGGCGGCCUGAUAAGUCAGGGGUGAAAUAUGACGGCUCAACCGUCAAACUGCCCCUGAAACUGUUAGGCUUGAGUCCGGGAGAGGAAGGUGGAAUUCCAGGUGUAGCGGUGAAAUGCGUAAAUAUCUGGAGGAACACC